CAACAAGGGAGAAGGCAGUGAGUAAUCGAAUCAACAUGGCUUCUGAUGAAAGUGAAGUACCCUCAGACUCGACCAUUCAUGUUGAGAGAGAAAAGCCAUAUUUAUUCAGUAGGAGAUGCCAUUGGAGACACAUCAUGGGAGUCAGGGGCCCCUGAGCUGAAACCUCGAUUCUCCUCCGAGGCUCCCCUUUGGUUUCCCCGCUCCGCUCUGUGCCGUGCCGUGUAGCGCCGUGUAGCGCCGCACACCUUUGGCUCGCGCAAGAGGAAUGAAAGGGAGCUGAGACACCAAUCACAGAACUCCGAGAAAAACUCACUUGACAAGCUCAGAUGUUGCGUCAGGUUCCCAGAAGGCCAGAGCCCAUCUGAAGCCCCGCAGAGGCGGAAAAAUGGCCCUCGUCUCUCGACCGCAGCUUCACGGUGUUAAGUCAUACAAUUAAAAAUUCAAUCAUUCGACUAAUUCCCUAUUGUGAGUUUUUACGUAGCUGAAUGAGGAAGGGAUGGAUGAGAGUGACCACAUCUGCCUGCCCUCAGCCAUAUGCUGGGAAUGCAAAUGGCUGCCUAUUACCAUAAACAAGUAUAAAAAGUAGGGCAUUGGGUAUCUGUGAUGCCACACACACAAAAAAAAGAGGAAAAAAAAGAAGAAGAAAAAAAAUCCAGUCACCUUGGAUAACGGUUGAAUAGCUGUGCGCAACUCGGAGCGCAGAGAUGCUCAGAGGCGCCGUAGCAACGAAGCUCGUGAAAUCUGGCCGUCACGGCUCUUGAUGAGUACCCUUGACAAAAAAAUGAAAUCGGUAUGCAGCGCAGCAGGCAGGGACCUUGUCAGAUGCUAAUACGGGGGCCACAGUCGAGGUUGUGAUCCAGAGCUAUUUAUAUAUUUCUUCUCUGGCAGUGAGAUGUAUUUGUUGUAGUACUGGUGCAUACCAGAUGGUGGUGGUCUUUGCACUUGCUUCAUAAAUCACCCCCACCCCACGCACACACACACUCUCACCCCACACAUCCCCACACCCCUCCACACACACACCCCCCCCCCCAUCCUCCCUGCCCUCACUCUUGUUAUUCAUUAAAGCAGGUUGGAAUAAUAAGUCCCCAAGAAACUAGGAACAUGUGAUGAAGCCAUAGUUAAUAAUGUAUACAUCUGCCCUCCCCCUUUCUUCCCCUACUUUCUCCCAGCCUCUCUCGGUCCUCAACCUCCCCCUCUCCAAAAUCUGCAGAGUCCUCCUUCGGCUUCCCAUCCUUCUCUCUCAUUCCCUCUCUCUCUCUCUCUCUCUCUCUCCCCCCCCCCUCUCUCUCUUUCCCUCCCUCUCUCUCUCUCUCUCUCUUGCCGUGCCCCGUCAGAAGAACGAGCUAAAUGCACAUUAACAUAUUUAUAUUUAUAUGUUAAGACACGUGACUAAAAGCAUGUGAGCACAGUUAGACGGAUAACC
ensembl:lncRNA